CUAAUUUACAAAUUGAAAGCUGAUCUUUGUUGUAUCACUGAAAUUAACAUACAACCUUUUGAAGUUUAUUUCCACCGAGGCAGGCCCAUAUGCUCUGCGAAAUCUGUUCGAUUUCGAUUAGGACAUCUCAAAUCCUCAAGAGAAAAGAGUUAUCUCCUGGACUUCCCCAAGCAACAGCCUGCUAAUGACAAGUUUAUAUGGACAUAUACCUCGAAAGAAUUCCAGAUGAGACAGG
rnacentral:misc_RNA from 1 species